GCAGUCGUGGCCGGGUGGUUCAGGCGAUGGACUAGAAAUCCAUUGGGGUCUCCCCGCACAGGUUCGAAUCCUGUCGACUGCG
rfam:Ixodes scapularis strain Wikel colony gcontig_1108379006830, whole genome shotgun sequence.